rnacentral:rRNA from 1 species
GAUCCUGGCUCAGGACGAACGCUGGCGGCGUGCUUAACACAUGCAAGUCGAACGAUGAAGAAAAGAAUCGAAGCUUCGGCAGAAAUUCAUUUCGGAUUAGUGGCAGACGGGUGAGUAACGCGUGAGCAACCUACCUCUUACAAAGGGAUAGCCUCGGGAAACCGGGAUUAAUACCAUAUAACAUUGCGACGAAGCAUUUCGAUGCAGUCAAAGCUACGGCGGUAAGAGAUGGGCUCGCGUCCCA